rnacentral:rRNA from 1 species
CGGAUUGCAGGCUGCAACCCGCCUGUAUGAAGUUGGAAUCGCUAGUAAUCGCGGAUCAGCAUGCCGCGGUGAAUACGUUCCCGGGCCUUGUACACACCGCCCGUCACACCAUGAGAGUCGGGAACACCCGAAGUCCGUAGUCUAACCGCAAGGAGGACGCGGCCUAAGGUGGGUUCGAUAAUUGGGGUGAAGUCGUAACAAGGUAUC